rnacentral:misc_RNA from 1 species
GCUCAGUUCAGAUCGUAGGCUGCAACUCGCCUACGUGAAGUAGGAAUCGCUAGUAAUCGCAGGUCAGCAUACUGCGGUGAAUACGUUCCCGGGCCUNGUACACACCGCCCGUCACACCAUGGAAGUUGGCCAUGCCCGAAGUCGUUACUCCACCCCUGUGGGAGGAGGACGCCGAAGGUGGGGCUAAUGACUGGGGUGAAGUCGUAACAAGGUAGCCGUACCGGAAGGUGCGGCUGGAUCACCUCCUAACAGGGAGACAACAAAAUGUUUAAUAUUAUUAUUGUGUCACCAGAGGUCGAGCGGUAUCUCACUCUCGUAAUAUAAUGAGAAUCUCAUUUUAUGAGUUUUUAUAUCUCACACACAAUUUUUCUCGUGGCACAAGAGCUCAGGUGGAGAGAGCGCACCCGAGAUAAGGGAGAGGUCCGUGGCACAAGCACGAGAUGGCACAUAUCUAUAUGGGGGGUAUAUAGCUCAGGGGGGAGAGCGCGUUCUGCACACGCAAGAUGUCAGCGGUGAGAGUGCGCUCACCCACAGAGAUCCCCAUCUCUCACAUUUUAGAGAUAAAAGAAAUUUUAGGAGUGGUGAUCAUAUUAUGAACGAUAGUAGCUUCAUAAUGUAAUCUAUGAGACGCGGGUCUCAGAGAAAUAACUUCAUUGUCAGCGGAGAACCACAACAGCAGCAUAGAUUAUUAAAGACACUAUGCGCAUCUAUAGAGGCGCAGAUAUAAUAUGUGUGAGAACGCUAUAAUACCAAUUUUAUAAAGCGGAGGCUCCAAUUUUGAAGUUAUUGGUCAAGCUACAAAGGGCUCACGGAGGAUACCUAGGCACACAGAGGCGAUGAAGGACGUGGUUACCUGCGAUAAGUCUCGGGGAGUGGA